UCACAGAUCCGGAGGAAAAUCACCGGCAUGAUGGAAGUGUUAAGAACGUGUUACUUCUGUCCUGUUGUGCUUACAGUUUCAUUCUUCAUUCUUCCAGAAAUAGGCCCCUGCCUAGAGCACGUAUCAGGCCUUCUGUAGUUCUCUUUUCUACUUCCCCCGUCUGUGUCCUCUCAGGAGCUUCAAAAGAUCUCCUGGGACAGAAACCCCAACUGGAAACCCCUGGUUAGUGACCUUCUGAAAUGGAGGGAGGCCAGACUCCAACUGAAUAACGCCAGGCUCAUGUCGGAGAAGCAGGAGAAGCAGAUACUGAGCGCAUCCUCUCUGCCAGGCUCUGGACUACGCAACAGAUCACAGUGGCUCUCAUUUCUGGCUCCAAGACUGGCAAGACGGACAUGGAAGCAGACAAGCAAAGCCCCCGCCUUGGCGUUGUGAGGCAGUCCCUCAGCUGUCACGGUGGAGUCUGCCUGCUCCUGGGCCUGGAACGUUCUCUUCCACAUUCUGGGGCUUUCCAGAGAGAUGAGAGGCAUCCCAGUGCUGUCCAAAGGCCGACGAUGGAGCUCCAAUGGGCCCUUCGCGCCCGGUCCUUUCUUCUCCAGUGCUUUGGUUUCAUCUGGUCCAGUCAGCUUCCUGGCUCCCAAAGGCUGAUGUGGUCGGUCCUCUCGCAUGCACGGCACUGCAUCUCUUCCCUGUCUCUUCUCUUCGUGAACUCCUGCACUGCCCCAGGAGCGUCUGAAGCAGGGCCAGGGGUGUCCUCAGCUGGUGGACGGGGCCUCUGUGGCUGUGUCUCAGUGGGCAGAGCCUGGCCAUGGCCAGGCCUUCUAACUUGGCCUGCCCCAUUCUCAAGACCCAGCGUGUAGUCUAUGCCUGAUGUAGAGCCUGGCCUUUAAUUCUCAGAAAACGCAUUUGGCCUCGUGCUUCAUCUUGGUUUUCUGUCUCCCACAAUUAUCUCGCCGGGUGAGGUCGGCUUUAGAUUGAAAGACCAGAGCCAUCUCUGAAAGCCGAAGGAGUGGGCAGAGGUGGAAGGAACGGUGGAAAGGCCCUGGAGGCAGAAGAGAUCAUGAAUGCACACGUAGGCCGCUGCCUCUGCGUGGGCUGCUCUUCCCAGAGUGGGGAAGCUGUAAAUAAUUAGUCACUGCAUUCACAGUGAUCGUUCUAGGCCACCAGUUCUGGUCUUUUCUAGAGAAAAUUUAUCCUGGCCUAGACUGAUGGGGGGAGUCUGCGGUGGUUUCUUUGAAAUGGCAGUCAGGAUGUGGUAGAGGGUUAUCAUGUACGCCAUCAGUACAGACUGUAGCUACUUCUGCCCGAGGGCACUGGGAAAAGCUGCUCAGAAAGACAGCUACCAGGAUGACUCUGCACUUCCUGGGCAGAGACACUAAGGAAGGUUCAUCCAGGCAGAGGGAAGAGUGUGUGCACAGUGACAGAAGCAAAGACAGAGUGCGAUUGCAGAAAUGAGGCUAGGAAGAGACAACUAAUGCUCGAAAUUUAUCUAGAGAGGUUGGGGACUAGGGGAUGUCUCUAAGCUUGGAGGGACCUGUGCUGGCUGGGUUUGUGUGUCAACUUGACACAGACUGGAGUUAUCACAGAGAAAGGAACUUCAGUUAGGGAAGUGCCUCCAUGAGAUCCAGCUGUGGGGCAUUUUCUCAAUUAGUGAUGGGGGGGGCAUUGUGGGUGGUACCACCCUGGGCUGGUAUUCUUGGAUUCUAUAAGAGAACAGGCUGAGUAAGCCAGGGGAAGCAACCAGGAAGAAAUAUUUCUCCAUGGCCUCUGCAUCAGUUCCUGCUUCCUGACGUGCUUGAGUUCCAGUCCUAACUUCCUUUGGUGAUGAACAGCAACAUGAAGGUAUACACUGAAUAAACCCUUUCCUCCCCAA